rfam:Ntaya virus isolate IPDIA, complete genome
GGGGGUUCUCUUGAUGUUUGUGGCCACACAGGAAGUCUUGCGGAAGAGAUGGACAGCAGGCA